CCCUGAUCCUGGGUACACAUUGAACCCUGAUUCUGAUCGCACGUGAGCCCUGACCCAGAACACAUACUGAGCCCUGACUCUGGUCACACACUGAUCCCUGACCCUGGACACACACUGAGCCCUGACUCUGAUCACACACUAAGCCCUGACCCUGGACACAUAAUCCCCCCUUCUUGAGCCCUCACUCUAAUCAUACACUGAGCCCUGACCCUGGAUUCUACUGAGCGCUGACCCUGAGGACUGGCUGAGCCCUGCUCCAGGUCUCAGCUGGAAUUACUUAUACAUGUUCACAUGCGUCAUGUAUGUGUCAUGUGCUUGCAGAACCACCUCCUCUUCUAGCCACAUGCAACAGUCGACAGUGUGACACACUAAUCUUGGAAGGAAUGUGCCGGAGGCUCCCACCCCCAGUGGAGCCCUGACCCUAGACACACACUGAGCCUGACCCUGAUCACACAUGAGUCCUGACCCUAGACACACACUGAGCCUUGACCCUGAUCACACAUGAGCCCUGACCCUAGACACACACUGAGCAUUGACCCUGAUCACACAUGAGUCCUGACCCUAGACACACACUGAGCCUUGACCCUGAUUACACAUGAGCCCUGACCCUAGACACACACUGA
rnacentral:lncRNA from 1 species